UAGAAUUUUACAAGACCAAUACAAAAAUGAAUAAAUAUCUAAACAUUUCUCAAGUGUGGGCGUGGCAUACUGUAGCUGUUUCAACCUUUUUUUUUUAUUUCCCGCAAAUGAUUUUAUUUCCUUCAUUCCAAUCAAAAGUGCACUUUUUGCAGGCUGGACUUUGAUGGCUCAUUUAAUUUUGUUUUUCAAUUAGUAAAAUCAACAGCAAAAAAAAAUUUUGCCCACACUAUAAUUAAUCGUGUUUACAGCUAACACACACAGAAAAAAAACGAAAACCGCCAGAACUAUUUGGUGGUUAUGGUGUUUUUACUACAGUUUAAAACAAUAGGAGCAUGCGGACAUGCGGAUACCCGAGGAUAUUUAGACGGUGAUAGAGAACCCACAAUGCACCCGAUUGCACAAAAAAGAUGGAAGUAAGCGGAAGAACUGCCCCUGUGAACUGUAAUUUCUAGCCACUUACAUCAUCUGGAACAAGUUUGCAACUCCAUAAAGUUCGUUAGCACGUCUCGGCAACGCCAUUCAUCCAAAGCAACGAAAGCCGUUAAGUGCCUCCCAGAAUCUGACUCAUUCCAAGGAGUUGCAAAGACCUCCAUUAGAAAAGAAAGGCGGAGAAGCCGCAAGAAAUAAUAUGCCUGCAGGGGGAGGGACCACGGACGAGGUGUUUCUCAUCGACUUGGGAAAAGUGUUCAUUUAAGGCCACGCUCCAAACAGGCGUAUUUAAACAAAAGCCGCGCCUGGAUGAACCGAAAUAAAUAUUGAUGUUCCUUCAA